AGGGAAUAUUCUGCACUGAAUCCAGGAUCCUACCCAAGCACAAUUCCUGCACACCAUUUUGAGAGAGAGCUGGGAGUGCCGAGUUCUUCGUUAUAAGAGCAUACUGUUUCAUCAACCCAUGGCAUGCCAAAAGGCCCGACAAUGUGGCAGGGUUAUAGUGAAACCCCAGGCAGGUUUACCGGUGUUAAUCAGCACUCUUCACCAUUAGCUACAGGGUCAUAUCCCUUGCUGAAUCCUACUCCUCAAAUGAUGAUGAGGGAAAAGCUACAACCAUCUCUUCCUUUCAUCGUUCGGCAUUAACAAAGUCUAAUCUAUUGACUAUGCCUUUUUCAGUAAACCACCCAAGCUUGAUUAAUCUAGAAGAUCAAGUUGCUAAUCAAGCAUUUUUUCAUCCUGCAUCAUCAGUUCCGGUGCAGUCCCUACCAUAUUCAACAUCAUGCGUUCCUGCUCCAAUAUCAGAAUCCUUAGUAAGGGAACAGCAAGCAUUGCAGACACUGAACUUGGCAGAAACCAACUUAUCUGAACAUUCUUCAGCAAGAAAUAUGUACCCUGCUCAAAUGGAUGUGGCUGGUUUAUGUUCAACAUCGUUGAAUAUCUCAUCUUCAGCUUCCCCUGCAUUUCAACUGAAUCAUUUGCCUCUGCCACCAAGUUCACAAAAGAUUUGCAGAGUCAAUGCCUAUCCCACUUUAAUGAUGAGUUUGAUAAGGAAGCAAUGCGUGGUAAAUCUAAGAAGGAUGAGGUUUGGGGGGAUCUUGGGAAAGCAUACCGGCACAAUAAGGUGGAGGGUAUACAGGAAAGUGGAGCAUGCAGUCAGGUAUCUUGGAAUGAUACUCUGAAUCGGUAUCCAAGAUUAACACAGAAGUUCAGUUAUGACAAUUAUUGGACAUUUGCUAUAAAAAUGGAUUCCUGUACUGUUUUUGAGUAUUGUUCUCUAUUAGUUUUAUUGUAAAUUUAUCGGCGGGAGUUAUUCUUUUAUCUUCUUAAAAUGCCCACUGAAAUUCAAGUGGUAGCAAUGAAAGUUCUUACUGUAGCAUUAGUUUCUUACUGAACAUUUCCUUGCAGCUUCCUUCGAAGUUUACUUAAGAAUUUGACUUCCAAGCAAUGAACAAGAAGUUCUAUAAACACAAGAUUUGGGAAGAUUUUGGGAAAGAAAGUUACAGAGAUAAAGUGGAGGGCGUACACCAAAUUAGCACAUAUAGCCGUGCCCCUGAGAUGCUCCUGACUUACAGAAUGCAUUUCCAUAUUUUGAUCUAACAUUUUCCUCUGCCUGCAGCCUUCCUAUAACAAAGAUGACUUCUUUGACACCACAUCUCGAAAUUCCAUCACCCGUGGAGCUAAGAGCGGUAAGAAUUGAUCUUCCAAGAGACAGAAAUUGAACCAUAAGACAUUUGGCGAUGUUCAACGAAGAACUCAAUCAGGUUUUGGCAGGCACAGAGCUGAACAGCGUGAGUAUCAUGGACAAUACACUUCGGGAUGGCAGUAUAACUAUCAUAGAGGCUGUGGGAGUCAUCGCCAGAGACACAUAGUUGUCACAGCACAAUGACGGCAGAGCCAACAGUUGAGAACAUAGCUAGCAAAGAAAGCACCGCGGAGCCAAUGUAGACUCCAUCUUUAACCAGGUAGCACUCGCCGUCUAGCCAUCCUUCUCCGUAAGCUUGGCUUCGGCUCA